rnacentral:rRNA from 1 species
AACGAACGCUGGCGGCGUGCUUAACACAUGCAAGUCGAACGGUGAAGCUCCAGCUUGCUGGAGUGGAUCAGUGGCGAACGGGUGAGUAACACGUGAGCAACCUGCCCCUGACUCUGGAAUAAGCGCUGGAAACGGCGUCUAAUACUGGAUACGAGAAGGGUCCGCAUGGGCACUUUCUGGAAAGUUUUUCGGUUGGGGAUGGGCUCGCGGCCUAUCAGCUUGUUGGUGAGGUAAUGGCUCACCAAGGCGACGACGGGUAGCCGGCCUGAGAGGGCGACCGGCCACACUGGGACUGAGACACGGCCCAGACUCCUACGGGAGGCAGCAGUGGGGAAUAUUGCACAAUGGGCGAAAGCCUGAUGCAGCGACGCCGCGUGAGGGAUGACGGCCUUCGGGUUGUAAACCUCUUUCAGCAGGGAAGAAGCGAAAGUGACGGUACCUGCAGAAGAAGCACCGGCUAACUACGUG